AGAGUUUGAUCCUGGCUCAGAACGAACGCUGGCGGCAGGCUUAAUACAUGCAAGUCGAACGGGCGUAGCAAUACGUCAGUGGCAGACGGGUGAGUAACGCGUGGGAACGUACCCCUCGGUUCGGAAUAACUCAGGGAAACUUGAGCUAAUACCGGAUACGGCUUAGCGGCGAAAGAUUUAUCGCCGAGGGAUCGGCCCGCGUCCGAUUAGCUAGUUGGUGAGGUAACGGCUCACCAAGGCGACGAUCGGUAGCUGGUCUGAGAGGAUGAUCAGCCACAUUGGGACUGAGACACGGCCCAAACUCCUACGGGAGGCAGCAGUAGGGAAUAUUGGACAAUGGGCGAAAGCCUGAUCCAGCCAUGCCGCGUGAGUGAUGAAGGCCUUAGGGUUGUAAAGCUCUUUCGUCAGGGACGAUAAUGACGGUACCUGAAGAAGAAGCCCCGGCUAACUUCGUGCCAGCAGCCGCGGUAAUACGAAGGGGGCUAGCGUUGUUCGGAAUCACUGGGCGUAAAGCGCAUGUAGGCGGGUCUUUAAGUCAGGGGUGAAAUGCCAAGGCUCAACCUUGGAACUGCCUUUGAUACUGGAGACCUUGAGUCCGGGAGAGGUGAGUGGAACUGCGAGUGUAGAGGUGAAAUUCGUAGAUAUUCGCAAGAACACCAGUGGCGAAGGCGGCUCACUGGCCCGGUACUGACGCUGAGAUGCGAAAGCGUGGGGAGAAACAGGAUUAGAUACCCUAGUAGUCC
rnacentral:rRNA from 1 species